UACGGGGGGGGCAAGCGUUGUUCGGAAUUACUGGGCGUAAAGGGCUCGUAGGUGGCCAACUAAGUCGGACGUGAAAUCCCUCAGCUUAACUGGGGAACUGCGUCCGAUACUGGAUGGCUUGAGUUUGGGAGAGGGAUGCGGAAUUCCAGGUGUAGCGGUGAAAUGCGUAGAUAUCGAGAGGAACACCUGCGGCGAAGGCGGGUUGCUGGGCUGACACUGACGCUGAGGCGCGAAAGCUAGGGGAGCGAACGGG
rnacentral:rRNA from 1 species